AUUGAACGCUGGCGGCAUGCUUUACACAUGCAAGUCGAACGGUAACAGGCCUUCGGGUGCUGACGAGUGGCGAACGGGUGAGUAAUGCAUCGGAACGUACCCAGAGGUGGGGGAUAACGCAGCGAAAGCUGUGCUAAUACCGCAUGUGAUCUGAGGAUGAAAGCGGGGGACCGAGCAGCAAUGUUUGGCCUCGCGCCUUUGGAGCGGCCGAUGUCGGAUUAGCUAGUUGGUGGGGUAAAGGCCUACCAAGGCGACGAUCCGUAGCUGGUCUGAGAGGACGAACGGCCACGGGGGAAAUGGACAACGCCCAGGACCCCUCGGGGAGGAACAAGGGGGGAAUUUGGGAGAAGGGGCGCAAGCCUGACCCAGCAAUGCCGGGGGGGGAAAGAAGGCCUUCGGGUUGAAACCCGCUUUGGGCAGGAACAAAGGGGUGCCCGCAAAUCCCGGGCGCUAAGGACGUUACCUGAAAAAAAAGCACCGGCAAACUCCGUC
rnacentral:rRNA from 1 species